rnacentral:tRNA from 1 species
GGAAGAGCAUCGUCUCCGGUGGGGCGCGCGGCCUUCAAAGCCGUCGGGACGCUCGAUAGGCGUCCGGUGGGUUCGACUCCUACCUCUUCCGCCA